UACGUAGGGACCAAGCGUUGUUCGGAUUUACUGGGCGUAAAGGGCGCGUAGGCGGCAAUUCAAGUCAUCUGUGAAAUCUCCGAGCUUAACUCGGAACGGUCAGAUGAUACUGUUUUGCUAGAGUACAGAAGGGGCAAUCGGAAUUCUUGGUGUAGCGGUGAAAUGCGUAGAUAUCAAGAGGAACACCUGAGGUGAAGACGGGUUGCUGGGCUGAUACUGACGCUGAAGCGCGAAAGCUAGGGUAGCAAACGGG
rnacentral:rRNA from 1 species